rnacentral:rRNA from 1 species
GACGAACGCUGGCGGCGUGCUUAACACAUGCAAGUCGAACGCUGAAGCUCAGCUUUUGUUGGGUGGAUGAGUGGCGAACGGGUGAGUAACACGUGAGUAACCUGCCUCCUUCUUUGGGAUAACGCCCGGAAACGGGUGCUAAUACUGGAUAUUCACUGGUCUUCGCAUGGGGGUUGGUGGAAAGGGUUUUUCUGGUGGGGGAUGGGCUCGCGGCCUAUCAGCUUGUUGGUGGGGUGAUGGCCUACCAAGGCUUUGACGGGUAGCCGGCCUGAGAGGGUGACCGGUCACAUUGGGACUGAGAUACGGCCCAGACUCCUACGGGAGGCAGCAGUGGGGAAUAAUGCACAAUGGGCGCAAGCCUGAUGCAGCGACGCCGCGUGAGGGAUGGAGGCCUUCGGGUUGUGAACCUCUUUCGCUCAUGGUCAAGCCGCAACAAUGGUUGUGGUGAGGGUAGUGGGCAAAGAAGCGCCGGCUAACUACGUG